CAGCAGCCGCGGUAAUACGAAGGGGGCUAGCGUUGCUCGGAAUUACUGGGCGUAAAGGGAGCGUAGGCGGGUCGUUUAGUCAGAGGUGAAAUCCCGGGGCUCAACCUCGGAACUGCCUUUGAUACUGGCGACCUUGAGUAUGGGAGAGGUAAGUGGAACUCCGAGUGUAGAGGUGAAAUUCGUAGAUAUUCGGAAGAACACCAGUGGCGAAGGCGACUUACUGGCCCAUUACUGACGCUGAGGCUCGAAAGCGUGGGGAGCAAACAGGAUUAGAUACCCCCGUAGUCCCUGUCUCUUAUAC
rnacentral:rRNA from 1 species